UUGGUUCAGGAUGAACGCUGGCGGCAUGCCUAAUACAUGCAAGUCGAACGGACGGAAGAGGAAGCUUGCUUUCUUGGAAGUCAGUGGCGAACGGGUGAGUAACACGUAGGUAACCUGCCCAUGUGCCCGGGACAACGCCUGGAAACGGGUGCUAAAACCGGAUAGGUAGAGAGAUCGCAUGAACUUUCUAUUAAAGGGGCUACGGCCCUGAACAUGGAUGGACCUGCGGUGCAUUAGCUAGUUGGUGAGGUAACGGCCCACCAAGGCGACGAUGCAUAGCCGACCUGAGAGGGCGAACGGCCACAUUGGGACUGAGACACGGCCCAAACUCCUACGGGAGGCAGCAGUAGGGAAUUUUCGUCAAUGGGGGGAACCCUGAACGAGCAAUGCCGCGUGAGUGAAGACGGUCUUCGGAUUGUAAAGCUCUGUUGCGAGAGAAAAACGACACGGAUAGGGAAU
rnacentral:rRNA from 1 species